AAAGAAGAACACGUAUGAGAGUAACUGUUCAUACGUUGACGGUAUUUAACCAGAAAGUCACGGCUAACUACGUGCCAGCAGCCGCGGUAAUACGUAGGUGGCAAGCGUUAUCCGGAUUUAUUGGGCGUAAAGAGAGUGCAGGCGGUUUUGGCUAAGUCUGAUGUGAAAGCCUUCGGCUUAACCGGAGAAGUGCAUCGGAAACUGAUAACUUGAGUGCAGAAGAGGGUAGUGGAACUCCAUGUGAGCGGUGGAAUGCGUAGAUAUAUGGAAGAACACCAGUGGCGAAGGCGGCUACCUGCCGUCUGCAACUGACGCUGAGACUCGAAAGCAUGGGUAGCGAACAGGAUUAGAUACCCUGGUAGUCCAUGCGUAAACGAUGAGUGCUAGGUGUUGGAGGGUUUCCGCCCU
rnacentral:rRNA from 1 species